rnacentral:rRNA from 1 species
AUUGAACGCUGGCGGCAGGCCUAACACAUGCAAAUCGAGCGGAUGAAGGGAGCUUGCUCCUGGAUUCAGCGGCGGACGGGGGAGUAAUGCCUAGGAAUCUGCCUGGUAGUGGGGGAUAACGUCCGGAAACGGGCGCUAAUACCGCAUACGUCCUGAGGGAGAAAGUGGGGGAUCUUCGGACCUCACGCUAUCAGAUGAGCCUAGGUCGGAUUAGCUAGUUGGUGGGGUAAAGGCCUACCAAGGCGACGAUCCGUAACUGGUCUGAGAGGAUGAUCAGUCACACUGGAACUGAGACACGGUCCAGACUCCUACGGGAGGCAGCAGUGGGGAAUAUUGGACAAUGGGCGAAAGCCUGAUCCAGCCAUGCCGCGUGUGUGAAGAAGGUCUUCGGAUUGUAAAGCACUUUAAGUUGGGAGGAAGGGCAGUAAGUUAAUACCUUGCUGUUUUGACGUUACCAACAGAAUAAGCACCGGCUAACUUCGUG